rnacentral:rRNA from 1 species
UACAGAGGGUGCAAGCGUUGUUCGGAAUUACUGGGCGUAAAGCGCGUGUAGGUGGCGAUGUAAGUCGGAUGUGAAAUCCCUCGGCUUAACCGAGGAAGUGCAUUCGAUACUGCGUUGCUUGAGUACUGGAGGGGGUGGCGGAAUUCCCGGUGUAGAGGUGAAAUUCGUAGAUAUCGGGAGGAACACCUGUGGCGAAGGCGGCCACCUGGACAGUCACUGACACUGAGACGCGAAAGCGUGGGUAGCAAACAGG